GAUGUAGGGAGCGAGCGUUGUCCGGAUUCAUUGGGCGUAAAGCGCGCGUAGGCGGCCUCGCAAGUCGGUUGUGAAAUCCCGGGGCUCAACCCCGGGACUGCGUCCGAUACUGCGAGGCUGGAGGUAGGUAGGGGAGAUCGGAAUUCCUGGUGUAGCGGUGAAAUGCGCAGAUAUCAGGAGGAACACCGAUUGCGAAGGCAGCUCGCUGGGACGUCACUGACGCUGAGACGCGAAAGCGUGGGGAGCAAACAGG
rnacentral:rRNA from 1 species